AACCAACAGGGAUUACCUCAGUAACGGCGAGUGAAGCGGUAACAGCUCAAAUUUGAAAUCUGGCGCAAGCCCGAAUUGUAAUUUGUAGAAGAUGCUUCGGGUGCGGUCCCGGUCUAAGUUCCUUGGAACAGGACGUCAUAGAGGGUGAGAAUCCCGUAUGUGACUGGUGACCUAACCUAUGUGAAGCUCUUUCGACGAGUCGAGUUGUUUGGGAAUGCAGCUCAAAAUGGGUGGUAUAUUUCAUCUAAAGCUAAAUAUUGGCCAGAGACCGAUAGCGCACAAGUAGAGUGAUCGAAAGAUGAAAAGCACUUUGGAAAGAGAGUUAAACAGUACGUGAAAUUGUUGAAAGGGAAGCGCUUGCAACCAGACUUGCGCGUAGUCGAUCAUCCGGCGUUUUCACCGGUGCACUCGACUGCGCUCAGGCCAGCAUCGGUUUGGGUGGUUGGAUAAAGGCUGUGGGAAUGUGGCUCCCCCGGGAGUGUUAUAGCCCACGGUGCAAUGCAGCCUCCCUGGACCGAGGACCGCGCUUCGGCUAGGAUGCUGGCGUAAUGGUUGUAAGCGACCCGUCUUGAAACACGGACCAAGGAGUCUAACAUCUAUGCGAGUGUUUGGGUGUCAAACCCAUACGCGUAAUUAACGUGAACGGAGGUGAGAACCCUUAAGGGUGCAUCAUCGACCGAUCCUGAUGUCUUCGGAUGGAUUUGAGUAAGAGCAUAGCUGUUGGGACCCGAAAGAUGGUGAACUAUGCCUGAAUAGGGUGAAGCCAGAGGAAACUCUGGUGGAGGCUCGCAGCGGUUCUGACGUGCAAAUCGAUCGUCAAAUUUGGGCAUAGGGGCGAAAGACUAAUCGA
rnacentral:rRNA from 1 species